UGGAUCGAUGAUGACUGCUGGUGGCGUAUGGGUCAUAUGCGCUGAAUUGGUGUUUAU
rnacentral:snoRNA from 1 species